UCUAUUCCUUAUCUGUUUCUAAUUCAGUUGAUUUGUCUGGAGCCUGUCUUCAUACACUCUGCGCCCAUAGGGUUAAAAGCGCAGGAAGACAGGCUCAUCGUCUCGUAUUUCGCAAACGGCGCCUCA
rnacentral:sRNA from 1 species